rnacentral:rRNA from 1 species
UUAACAGAACUGUGGGGACACAGGCAGAGAGCGUGAGCCGGGAAUGGAAAGACCGGUACAAGCGAGGUAGGAGAAGAGUUGGCAAAUCCGCUCUUUAAUCUGAAGACGUGAUGUGGACUGAAAAUAAGUAGGGAAGCACGUGAGCUGACUGUCAAGAAAAGCCGCUAUUGUUUGCAGGAUACCCGUACCGUAAACCGACACAGGUGGAUGAGGAGAGAAUCCUAAGGCCGACGGGAGAAGCAUUGUUAAGGAACUCGGCAAAAUGACUCCGUAACUUCGGGAGAAGGAGUGCCAGUAAGAUGGCCGCAGAGAAUUGGCCCAAGCAACUGUUUAGCAAAAACACAGGUCUAUGCAAAACCGAAAGGUGAGGUAUAUGGGCUGACGCCUGCCCGGUGCUGGAAGGUUAAGGGGAGAGGUUAGCGCAAGCGAAGCUUUGAACUUAAGCCCCAGUAAACGGCGGCCGUAACGAUAACGGUCCUAAGGUAGCGAAAUUCCUUGUCGGGUAAGUUCCGACCCGCACGAAAGGCGUAAUGAUUUGGGCACUGUCUCAACAAUGCACCCGGUGAAAUUGAAAUACCAGUGAAGAUGCUGGUUACCUGCGCCAGGACGGAAAGACCCCAUGGAGCUUUACUCCAGCUUGAUACUGGGAUUCGGUAUUGCAUGUACAGGAUAGGUGGGAGGCUAGGAAAUGGUAACGCCAGUUGCCAUGGAGCCAAUGUUGGGAUACCACCCUUGCAGUACUGGGUUUCUAACCAGCAGCCGUGAUCCGGCUGGGGGACAAUGUCAGGUGGGGAGUUUGACUGGGGCGGUCGCCUCCGAAAGGGUAUCGGAGGCGCUCAAAGGUUCCCUCAGAAUGGUUGGAAACCAUUCGAAGAGUGCAAAGGCAGAAGGGAGCUUGACUGCGACACCGACGGGUGGAGCAGGUACGAAAGUAGGACUUAGUGAUCCGGUGGUAUAAAGUGGGAUUGCCAUCGCUCAACGGAUAAAAGCUACCCUGGGAUAACAGGCUUAUCACUCCCAAGAGUUCACAUCGACGGAGUGGUUUGGCACCUCGAUGUCGGCUCAUCGCAUCCUGGGGCUGAAGUAGGUCCCAAGGGUUGGGCUGUUCGCCCAUUAAAGCGGUACGCGAGCUGGGUUCAGAACGUCGUGAGACAGUUCGGUCCCUAUCCGGCGUGGGCGUAAGAUAUUUGAGAGGAGCUGUCCUUAGUACGAGAGGACCGGGAUGGACUGGCCGCUGGUGUAUCUGUUGUCUUACCAAAGGCAUAGCAGAGUAGCCAAGCCGGGAAGGGAUAAACGCUGAAGGCAUCUAAGCGUGAAGCCCCCCUCAAGAUGAGAUAUCUCAUAACGUCAAGUUAGUAAGACCCCUUGAAGACGACGAGGUAGAUAGGGCAGAGGUGGAAGUGUGGUAACACAUGGAGCUGACUGUUACUAAUAGGUCGAGGGCAUAACCUA